ACAACUACAUAUGCAUUACAGCAGGAACUGGCAGGCCUCUGGGCUACAGCAACUAUAGGGCUUGUGCUUCCCGACUGCCAGGCUAUAAUCUAUGAAACUGAGCCCAGAUCCAGCCAAUCAGUUCACUCCUCAUAACAAGUCUAACUGGCUCUGGAAAGCUGAAAGGGCUGCACUGGAGCAACGUAGAUGAGAUAUUCCACACAAUGAUCUGCUUAUCUAGAAUCACUUUGCCUGGAAAGACCAGAGAAAAAUCACUUUGUCUAAGGAAAGGACAGGUGAUCUGGCAAAACCACCACGGGACCUGGAGCAAGAUCCUCUGGCUUGGCAGUUCAGCGCUGCCGGCAUUAAAGGACCUGAGGCUCCCCAGAAACCAGAGGGCAACCACCACAGCAGCAAAACACCAAGGACUGGCGUGAAGAUUAUGAGCAAAUGCAUGCCUACAACUGAGCCCAUUACAUGCCCUGUCUUCUAGAUGGAGAAUGAAGAGCUCCCAAUGGAAGAAAGCAUAUCCAUGUACAUUUUUCUCCAUUGUGAGACGUCAAGCCGAGUGCUCUGUAUGUAAUACAGCCAUGGGUGUUUGCACAUUGUAAGCCAGUGUCAUAUUUGUCUUGUGCUUUUCAUCAUACAUUUGAUUUAGCAGGCAAAUUUUCAAGGCUCAGCGCUGAUGGAUGUACCCUGGAGCCAACUUCAAAGCCAGACCUUAGAUUUAUGGAAAUAAAUAAGCAUAGUACUUCAAUUACAAGUUCCUACUUUGAAUUCCAAUGUGCACAUAAAAAUGUUCAUCCUAAAAAUCCUGCCCUUGAUUUUUGACCCAGGAAGUCUCUUGAUUUUGCUCUUAGCACCAUUCUCAUCUCACCGUGCCAUUUUAACUCAGUCUGCUUUCACAAAUACAGUAUAAAAAUUGAGUUCCACCAUGUCCUAUAAUAUAUGUCUCUUUUUGCUAAUUGGCAAGCGAUUUUUGCAAAUUGGUGAGAGAUUUUUAAAAAGUCACCCUGACUAACUCUGGCCAAGCUGGGUAGCAGCUGGAAAGCCCACAGAGCCAACCCAAUUUGCAUCAUCUUAUCAAAGCUUUCAAAGUUUGGAUGCCAGUCAGCUGGUACCAUAGUGAAUUAGAGCAGUUCCCUACUUUGCCUAUAGUCUGAGACCCCAUGGCAAGUUCUCAAAGGGGACUGAACAGGGGCAGGUAAACAAGUAGUCAGCUGUACAAGAGCCUGCUACUGCAAAGCAUACAGAAAAUGACAGAGAUGCAGACCUGAAAGAACCAGAACAUGUAUCCACACACAUGCAUGUGUAUACACAUACAUACACACAAACAUGAAGUCACACGUGCACAUAUGUGCAUGUAUACUCCUGUACACACAUGACACAGUGGGAAAAUAGUUGUGACAUACUAAAGGGAAUGAAAAUUUCAAAAUUACUGUAAAUAUACUUUCAAGACUCCAAGGUUUGGAAGAGGGUAUUCCACAAGUGAUUCCUCUACCUUAAACAAUUAGGACAAAAAAAAACAAGGGGCAGGGGUGGUGAAUCCCUGAAAAUACAGAGCAUACCACCAGCAGAGAAUAAAAGACACUAAUGCUGCCAAAGAUUAGUACACAGAAUUCAGAUUUAAUAGUAAAAAACAGAGGGGGGUGGGGAACAAAAGAGAAAAAAGAGACCAAAAAGGAGAAGAAAAGAGAAGCCAAAGUUUCAAAGAGAGCUAAGUACAAAGGUUUAAGCUGAAAUGACACUGCAGGAAUAAAGGAGGCUUGUAACUGAAUUACUAUGAAAUAACGUUGGGCCCAAAAUGAGUGAUGGAACAUUUUUAAAUGUAGGAACUAAAAAAUCAGGAUGAGACAUUCUUUAAGUAAAUUAUAAUUCAAAUGGGAUAAAAAUACAGUUUAACAUUAGGUAAAUCAUAAUUCAAAUAGGACAAUAUAGUUUAACAUUUGGGGGAUUUAUAAAAAUAUGCAGUCGAUUUGACAAUUUUGAAAAAUACAACAAUAAAAAAGAAUAAGGAAGGAAGAGAAACAUCCUAUUAAUGAAAGAGAAUCUCUGUUAUCAUACAUUCUUCUGGUCACAUCUAUGCAAAUUGUGAUUACACUGUCUAUGCUGUGACUUUGUCAGCAUCACAACUUGUCAUAAUUUUUCAUGAUGUUAAAUGAUCUCUAAAACUAUAAUUUUUAGACAGUUUGAUGCCUAAUUUUUAUAUUAUGAACAAAAGUGCAUGAAUACCUUCAUACAUAAUUUUUAAUUACUUUCUUUUUCUAAUUACAUAGUAAUUGCUUCCUUAGAAUAUACUCUUUUUUUAUAUUUGAGAAGAAAAUAAAGGGUAAAAGCUGGUCCUCUGGAUUCAUUAAAGCUUUUCUUUAUAUUCUUUUUAGUUACAUACAAUACCAGGAUACACCCUGACAUCAUCACAAAAGCAUGGAACACAAUCCACUCCAAUUCAGUCCCCAGCACUUCCCCGCUGCCCCCUAGUCCCCUCCCUCCACUCCACCCAUCCUUCUUCUAUGCACUUGAAGGAUUCGAAAGUGCAAAAUAACUUUUUAAAAAUUUUGUACCAUUUUUUUGCCACUUACAAUAUAUAAAAUUUUGUUUCACCACACACUAGGCACCAUGAGCAUUUAGGAGAAAAAAAAGUCUUUUGUUUGAUUAGUGGGGGUCAGAGGCACCUUUAAUCUAAAUCCAAUUUGCUAUUCAAUACAUACAUUCAACUCCUGAAUAUGCACAGAAGUUCUUAUACUUUUUAUAACAAUGAACUGCUUUGAGAGUAAUGUGAAACCUUUGAGAGUAAUGUGAACUUCUUUCUGUAAACAUGUUCACAUACAGUGAGAGAAAUUCCCUGGAGCUCCAUCAUAGAACAAUCUCUAACUGACUUCCAAACAUCCGACCCAGGUGGGACAUCUGAGCCAUUUAUAAUCUGGGAUGUCAAUAAUUAGUUCAAGCACAUAGAAACAUGCAUGGUUUGGUGGGAAAGGAUUCAGCUUGAGCCAUGAGGCUUGCUUUCCAGCUUUAGCUGGAAACAUGUUUAGAUCCUUGUCACAGGCUGGGCCUCUAGGUUCCCUUCCAUCUGCAAAUCCCUGGAGUUCCAAGAUAAUGUCACCCUUCCUUGGCAUGUUGUAGACGUCUGUUCUAUGGAAAGUUCAUGGUUAUUUUCUCUUUCUAGGUUCCUUGUUUUCAGGAGUAGAUGGGACUAUCUUCAACUCUAUUUGAUAUUUUCUCCAGAAUACCCAUUAAUGUCAAUACCAUUGACUGCAUACAUCUCUUGUCUUCCAUGACAAAUUGGGAACUUCUUGGGGGCAUAAAGUGUGUCUAACUCAACUGUGCCUAAUUUAUUCAACAUAUUCACCAGUAAAUAUCUAUUACAAUGAACUGAGAAAAUUCUAAACAAAAUAGAAAUAUGUUUAGGAUUUUGUUCCAAACAAAAGAGAAUAGUGUCUACAAUAUCAAAUAAAAGGAGUUCAGUUUUGCUUGGAUUGAUUAUAAUUCUUCGAAGUGUCUAAACAUGCAUAUGUAUUGACCAUCUUUUCAGCUUAAAUAAAAAUGUUUACUCAGUUGA